rnacentral:rRNA from 1 species
AGUGAACGCUGGCGGUAGGCCUAACACAUGCAAGUCGAACGGCAGCACAGUAAGAGCUUGCUAUUACGGGUGGCGAGUGGCGGGCGGGUGAGGAAUACAUCGGAAUCUACUUUUUCGUGGGGGAUAACGUAGGGAAACUUACGCUAAUACCGCAUAAGACCUACGGGUGAAAGCAGGGGAUCUUCGGACCUUGCGCGAUUGACUGAGCCGAUGUCGGAUUAGCUAGUUGGCGGGGUAAAGGCCCACCAAGGCGACGAUCCGUAGCUGGUCUGAGAGGAUGAUCAGCCACACUGGAGCUGAGACACGGUCCAGACUCCUACGGGAGGCAGCAGUGGGGAAUAUUGGACAAUGGGCGCAAGCCUGAUCCAGCCAUGCCGCGUGAGUGAAGAAGGCCUUCGGGUUGUAAAGCCCUUUUGUUUGGAAAGAAAAGCAGCAGGGUAAUACCCCGCUGUUCUGACGGUACCCAAAGAAUAAGCACCGGCUAACUUCGU